rnacentral:sRNA from 1 species
AAGUAUGUGGCUCAAAAAGUGAGCCAGGAGUAGAUUUAUUUUGGUAAAGGCUUUGUCUUUUUUCACGAUGAUGGUGAUGUUCUUCUAAGUCUAAAGUGAGUUUUAAAGGUUUAUUAGUGGUAAUUUUAAUCCCUAACGCAUCAUAAAGCAUCAUGUGCUUACUAUCAAUAACCGCAAUUAAUUUUAACAGUGCUGUACCUACCAUAAAUACCUCCAUA